rnacentral:rRNA from 1 species
UACGUAGGGGGCAAGCGUUGUCCGGAUUUAUUGGGCGUAAAGAGCGUGUAGGCGGCCACACAGGUCAGCUGUGAAAACUCGAGGCUCAACCUCGAGACGUCGGUUGAAACCGUAUGGCUAGAGUCCGGAAGAGGAGAGUGGAAUUCCCGGUGUAGCGGUGAAAUGCGCAGAUAUCGGGAAGAACACCAGUGGCGAAGGCGGCUCUCUGGACCGAUACUGACGCUGAGGCGCGAAAGCGUGGGGAGCAAACAGG